UCAGUGUCUGCCCUUUAUGGGCAUGGUUAGGCUAAGAUAUUUCCAGUAUGCUUGUUCUUUUAUGGUGACCUUGCCACACCAAUGUGCACAGGCCACACAUGGAUAAACUACAGGCACAUACUUUCAAUCACUAGAGGGAUAAAAAAGCUCAAGUUGAUGGGAUUUGGGAUUCACACAGAGAUCAAACUUGUGUUUUGGACACAUAUUCUGGAACUGCCUCAGGAGAAAACCUUUAAAUAAAUCAUCCCAAACCCUGCAUA